AUUGAACGCUGGCGGCAUGCCUUACACAUGCAAGUCGAACGGCAGCACGGGUGCUUGCACCUGGUGGCGAGUGGCGAACGGGUGAGUAAUACAUCGGAACAUGUCCUGUAGUGGGGGAUAGCCCGGCGAAAGCCGGAUUAAUACCGCAUACGAUCUACGGAUGAAAGCGGGGGACCUUCGGGCCUCGCGCUAUAGGGUUGGCCGAUGGCUGAUUAGCUAGUUGGUGGGGUAAAGGCCUGCCAAGGCGACGAUCAGUAGCUGGUCUGAGAGGACGACCAGCCACACUGGGACUGAGACACGGCCCAGACUCCUACGGGGGGCAGCAGUGGGGAAUUUUGGACAAUGGGCGAAAGCCUGAUCCAGCAAUGCCGCGUGUGUGAAGAAGGCCUUCGGGUUGUAAAGCACUUUUGUCCGGAAAGAAAUCCUUGGCCCUAAUACGGUCGGGGGAUGACGGUACCGGAAGAAUAAGCACCGGCUAACUACGUG
rnacentral:rRNA from 1 species